GAUCAUGGCUCAGGAUGAACGCUAGCUACAGGCUUAACACAUGCAAGUCGAGGGGCAGCAUGACCUAGCAAUAGGUGAUGGCGACCGGCGCACGGGUGAGUAACACGUAUCCAACCUACCGGUUAUUCCGGGAUAGCCUUUCGAAAGAAAGAUUAAUACCGGAUAGUAUAGCGAGAAGGCAUCUUCUUGUUAUUAAAGAAUUUCGAUAACCGAUGGGGAUGCGUUCCAUUAGUUUGUUGGCGGGGUAACGGCCCACCAAGACAUCGGUGGAUAGGGGUUCUGAGAGGAAGGUCCCCCACAUUGGAACUGAGACACGGUCCAAACUCCUACGGGAGGCAGCAGUGAGGAAUAUUGGUCAAUGGACGAGAGUCUGAACCAGCCAAGUAGCGUGAAGGAUGACUGCCCUAUGGGUUGUAAACUUCUUUUAUAUGGGAAUAAAGUGAGCCACGUGUGGCUUUUUGUAUGUACCAUACGAAUAAGGAUCGGCUAACUCCGUGCCAGCCGCAGC
rnacentral:rRNA from 1 species